rnacentral:rRNA from 1 species
GGGUAGUUUGACUGGGGCGGUCUCCUCCCAAAGAGUAACGGAGGAGCACGAAGGUUGGCUAAGCAUGGUCGGACAUCAUGCGGUUAGUGCAAAGGCAUAAGCCAGCUUGACUGCGAGAGUGACGGCUCGAGCAGGUACGAAAGUAGGUCUUAGUGAUCCGGUGGUUCUGAAUGGAAGGGCCAUCGCUCAACGGAUAAAAGGUACUCCGGGGAUAACAGGCUGAUACCGCCCAAGAGUUCAUAUCGACGGCGGUGUUUGGCACCUCGAUGUCGGCUCAUCACAUCCUGGGGCUGAAGUAGGUCCCAAGGGUACGGCUGUUCGCCGUUUAAAGUGGUACGCGAGCUGGGUUUAGAACGUCGUGAGACAGUUCGGUCCCUAUCUGCCGUGGGCGUUGGAAGAUUGAAAGGGGCUGCUCCUAGUACGAGAGGACCGGAGUGGACGCACCACUGGUGUUCGGGUUGUCAUGCCAAUGGCAUUGCCCGGUAGCUAAGUGC